GAAUUUUUGAUUUAUAACAUUUUUUUCAAAUACAAAAUAGGAAGUAUAAUAAUAAAAGACUCGACAAAGUUAACUAAACUAUGACAGAUUCUAACAUCACCUAAAAGACUCGACAUUACUGUACAAAGACGGCAUAAAAGAAAAAUAGACUCAAACAUUAAAAAAUCUCCUUAAGCCACUCCUGAAUGAGCGAUCCUGACUAGAUAGUCCUGGGGCAUCUGUCAUUCUCAAACUCCGGUAAGUAAAUCUACACCUGUAUGAGAAAAUUAAGACCAAAUAAAGUUAAAGACCUAGAACGCUACGUGAGACAAUAACCCUUCCUGUUGGACACAUGCAAGACAUGAUUGUGACUAUUUUUCUAAAAUUAACCUGUGGCUAAAAGUGGCUAAAAAUGCAAGAUUUCGCUAAGACCCCGCGAAUCCAAGAACCUAAGAUUCACUAGAAAAAUCGGACCCUAUGUGGGUUGCCUAGGUAUCACGCCUCGAAAUACGAGAAUCAGGUAUGCGUAGUUCGGGCAGAUUGGAUACGGGCGAGAAUUAAAAAAAACACUUAUUUGAAGAAAAUAUAUUUUUGUCUUUUCUUUUUGAAAAAUGAUGAAACAUGUAAACUCUUUUUGGAUUUUCUUUUUCCCUUUUUUUGAUUCCUUUUUUUUUGGGAAAUGAUGGAAAAGUGCAAAAUCUUUUUGGACUUUUCAUGUUUUUUUUUCUUUUUCUUAAAAAAUGUGAAAGAAAAAUAUAACUGGGCCCUAUUUGCUUUAUUUUUACACUUCAACCUCUUUUUUCUCAUUUACCCUCAAACCUCAUUGGUCCGCCAAAUAACCCAUUUUACCUUUGAAGAUUGCAAUAUGUAGAAUAUUAGGAUGCAUCAGGAUGGUUUGUUAUUUUGGGUGCACCUAUCAUAGACAGACCCAACUCAUGUGUUGAGUCCCCAAAGUCAAAUGCAUGUGAUGCAAACAAGCAUUCCUACUAGGGAUCUGGCAUGAGGCUAUGUUAUACUAUAUUUAAAACUUGGGUGUAUUGUUCUAGACCUGGCUUACCCGAGCAGACAGCUCGAGCCGAGGGGGUGGCAGUGUACCGGGAAUACAGAAGCUUCACCGGCUUUGCAACUUGUCCGAACCUCGUUCUAAAAUUGGGAUAUGACUCUAACAGAAGAGAAGUCACACGAAGUGCACCCUUCCCAGAUGAUUUAGAAGAUUCAAAGAGAGGAGGGUUUUGUAACAGUUUAUAUACAGUUCAAACAAUAUCAAAGCGGUAAAAAGUGACAUUUAUCACAUUAGGCUCAAACAUGUAAAAAUCAUAUAAUAAAUAAAGCUAACUAUAACAGAUAUUCUAAGCUCGAAUUCUAAACCCUGAACCAGAGAUUCUUGUUUCUUGUCCCCAACAGAGUCGACAAAGCUAUCACAUCUCCUUUUUCCUACCCCUAGAAGGGGUUAUAAGAGGAGUUUUUUCCAAUUUAAAUGACAAUCGAAACGGGAUCAUUUAUUUAAAAUUCAGAGUUGCCCCUUGGGAUAAUUUAUGGUGUCCCAAGUCACCGGUUUAAAAUCCCGAAUCUAGGAAAUUGACUCUUAUUUAUGGUCUGCGAACACAGAAAUCCGGGUAAGGAAUUUUGUUAACCCGGAAGAAGGUGUUAGGCAUUCCCGGGUUCCGUGGUUUUAGCACGGUCACUUAACUAUUAAUAUGGCCUAAUUAUCUGAUUAAUCACAUGUUUUAAACCUACGUGCAUCUUUAAACCUUUUAACCGCUUUUAAUAUUUCAGGAAAAUUCAAGGUUAUUUAAAACAUAUUGUAAGCCACGCUACAUGAAAUGCACUCGCGGUUCACGACACGUUCUAUUUAACUUUGUUGGAAAUUAGAAUCGGGUCACAUGAAAUGUACACCCAGAUUUUAGUAAUUACAAAUCACAACUGCGUCACGGAAGUCGUAUUCGUAACCAUAAUAAUUGUUUAAUUAACGCGCCUAAAGCAAACUACGAAACUCAUUUUUUUGCAACUAAACUGAAUUGUGAUGGCUUGCGAAGUUCAAAGAUUUAUGGAAUACAAUAUUGGAUAAGCAUAAUUUACUGCUUAUUCAACCAACUUCUGGUUGGUCAUUACUAAAAGAAAAGAUAUGGCUACUUCCGGAAAUUUAGACCUUUAACUUGGGAAUAUUAUCAAUCUCAAAUUAAUCUAACAUGUACAAGAUUUUAAAAUACAUACAAAUUUGAGCCAUGAACAACUAGAAAUUCUAUCCAAAGUAAAAGUAACAUCUACACUACUCAAAGUCAAAUUUGCAUUCUUAGCUAUGGAAUGGGUCACAGUGAAUUAAAACGAGGAUCAAAACUUAAUCAAUGGCCUAAAUUACAACAGAGGCUACGCUCGCUGCAAUUCUUAAGCAACUGUAUAAGCUUUAUAUCCAUACACAAUCAUCUAACAAUAAACCACAAAUAAUCUAGAGCUUCACCUUUAAACUCAAUAUUUAUAGAUCUAAUCAACCAGUGACAAGAUCUGUAAACUCGAGAUACUAGCACAUUCAGUUAAACCUCUUCAAUCAACAAGAAAAUGUCGGCGUAAUUCUAUUAAACAGAAGAUAGGAUGACGACAAUUAAUUCAAGUUUGAGAGUCAAGUGAAAUCACAAUAGAACUAAAUCAGCUGUGAUAACAAUAGAAUUCAGCCGUGAAAACAAUAGAAUUCAACUAUGAAGAACAUAUAGUUUUAUUUCAGCAACGACAUUGUAGAACAGACAUGAUUUGCUAAAUCUAUACGGGAUUACGAAAUCAGGAGUUAGGGAAUACCUCGAAAUGGCUAAAUUGAAGGAGAAAACUAAUGAAGAAACUAUAAUUAGUUCAGCACAAUGAGCAGCAGAGUUACAGCUCCAAAAAACAAAUUUCAACUCUAAAUCCGAGCAAAAUUGGCGGCAAAAGACCAGCAUAAAACGCGAACCUUAACAGCGGAUGGAAUCAAACUCACAAUCUGACCCCGAACCUCAAACGGAAACUCGAAUCGUCAUCGGAGCGAACCCAAUCAAACCCCGUAGAAUUCCAUGAUUUCUUUUGGAAAAUCAGAAAUUAAAAAUCAACUAAGAGAAUGCAGAGGACAGUGGUCUGCGGAUUUUCAUGGCAUCUCCGGCCAGAUGGCUUGGUGGUGUGUAGUGAAGAAAAAGCAGUGGCUGCUGUGUGUGUGUGGUGGCGUGAGGGGUGGUCGCUGGUCUUUGGAUUACAGGGUUCUGCCCAUUGGUGUUGCUUCAGAUCUCUAUGCGUGUAUAUGUGUGUAGGUCUUGAAGAGAGGGUCGUUUGGGGUGGGGCGAGGAAGAAGGGUUUCUGGGGGUGGGGUCUAAUUUUUGGUGGAAAACGGCGGAUUGUAUCCUUGUGUGUCAGCUUUUUAGGCGUUAGGUCUAGGGUCCUGUAGGUCUAGGUCUAAUUUUGGUUAUACAGAUAGGGUUUUUAGGUUAAGGGGGCAUAGGUUUGAUAUUAUUGAGCCUUAAAAUUAGGACAAAGACUAAAAAC
rnacentral:lncRNA from 1 species